GCAAGGAAGGACAGUAGUGUGGCAGAACUAGGGAGGGGAGGACGUGCGCGCGAGCAACAGAGCAACAGUUUCCAGGCGCUGCUGCAGCCUGUAGCGCGUACUGUCUGCCAACUUUCAACCGUCUCACUUUCUGCUAAGUACUGUUGCUUGACCUCCGUGUGAUGAAGUGACCGUGGUGAUGAAAAAUGAAAGUACGAGCGUGAUUUGAUAAUAGGAGAACUAGUCCAUACACUCACUCAGUUGUCGUAAGCUUGGAAACACAAGAACUGGUGUGGUGAAACAGAAAAGUUUAUGCCGCGGUUUGACAUUUCCCGCCCUGAACACUGAACACGCCGGGCAUUAGUAAGGGCGGCCAAAGGUGGGUGUGUGGUGUGUGGCAGCAGCAGUCAGUGACUAGUGCCGGCGGGUGGCGGCGGCGGCGGUGUUGGAGGUGGUGCCUUACAAGGCGUGCAGGAAAGCCAUGACGGCUUUGGUGGCAGCAUGCAGACGGGCGGCAACGGACGGUCUGCCAAGUCUACCUGGGCUGGGCGGGACUAGCACCCUGGCUGCUGCUGGCGGCGUGGACACAAGCGGCCGUCGCAAGAGUCAACGUGAAAUGGAGCCUUGUGUCGCUGCCUGUGUGUCACGUCGUGGCUGGGAGUCACGUGAGGGGUUUAUGGUUGAAUCUCGAGGGAACACGGGCGGGAAUGGAGGGACGUGAUAAAGGAUUCCCACCGUUGCCCCUUCGCCACUCCCAGCCGGCAUAACGAGAGGUAAGAC